CAAUCGUUAUUUAUUUUGCAAAGACAUCAUUACAGAGAUUCAUUUUAUAUGCAAAUUGAAAAGUUAUAAGUCAUUGAACUGCAUAGAUAAAGCUAAUGUGGUUAAUUAACAAAUGUGUUUUAUAGCUACAAAAUAACUGUUUCACAUUAAAUUACAUAAAAUGUAAGAAAACAUAAAACCAGUCAAUCACUGAUCUUUUAUAUUUUGAUAAGGGCCAUCUGGGAAUAGUUAUUUACUUUGCAAAGUAAGUUCACAACAGAACAUAACUAGGGGGUAUGACAGAUAAACUGGGCAACCCUAUUCAGCCUCUGAAGUAUAUUAGAGAAAUUCUCUUGUUUACUGCUUUAGGAUGCCUUUUAAAUGAUGGUUUAUUUUGAUCUAUUCAAAAAUAUUUAUACAAAAAUUAUAUGUGACAGCAGCUUUAUAUCAACUAAGUGAAAUAAACUGGACAAAAAUAUGUGUUAAUGUUUUUUCUAAGACUGAUAAAAUUUCAUAUUAAUUGGAAAUUAAGGCAACUGAACACACUUGGGAAAAAUUCAGGUUGCUUUAUAUUAGCCAGAAAUGUCAUUGUUAAAUUUUAACAAAGACCAAACAUUUUGCA
rnacentral:lncRNA from 1 species